CUAAAGUCGCCGAUUGCUUAUCAGCCCAGUGAGGAAUAUGAAGAGUUCUUUUCACACAGUGUAGGUUGUGUGAGUUGGGUGGAUUUGUCGGUGGUGGAUCUGGCUGAGCUGUGUGGUGGUCAGGAUUUCCACAACCCCACCCUGACAACAGUGCCACGGCAGUCCUCUCUGUAACAUUGAAGUCAACGGGCGUUACAUCCUCUACAGAAGUCACUGCUCCCCUAACGUUGGCAUCAACGUCAUCGUCAACGUCGGCUUCAACGUCGGCCUCAACGUCAUCUUUAAACGUCGGCGUCAACAUCAUCUUCAACGUCAUCUUCAAAAUCGGCUUCAACGUCAUCUUCAACGUCGGCCUCAACGCCAACGCCUACACUGGUCGCAAAGGAAGGAAUGAAAUGUCAAGUCUGUGGGGACUUGAACGCGAAGAUUCCGUGCAGCCCGAGGGAUAUGUUUGUACCAAAGGAACAACUGUAUGGUCAAUUCUGUAUGAUUGAUGUUCUACAUGACGUGAAUGGCGUUCAGACGACGUAUAAAAGGUGCGUGAACCAGAGGACCUGCUCCAGACAAUGGUACCACUAGACUUCGGACGAGGGGAGAUGCAUACAGAAACAACUAUGUACAGUAAUUCGCUUUGAAUCACCCACAAUCUCUUAAAUUCACUGAACAAUUUCCUAUGUCCCUAAUGUCUCCUUCGAGAAUAAGCUGGAAGAUACAACCGUAACCUGUAUAUUUCGUUUUACCAGGUGUUACCAAAUGUACGUGAAUACCGUUCUGAGUGGAAUGCAAAUAAAAUGUUUGCUUUCA